UUUUUGCUAUUGCAUACGAUAUACAUACAAAUAAAUAAAAAACUAUGUUCAUAGUCUUCCAACUUUGUAUAGACAUACUUGUUGUUUUUUUUUUUCUCUAUUUCAAUCUUCAAUAUUAGAAACUGUUUAUCCAAAACAAAUGAAUAAAAAUGAAAAUAUCAUAGAAAAAUCAAUAAUAAAUCAAAAGGGAAACAAACAAAAAAAAAAAAACAAAGCAAACUAAAAAUAGCAAGAUGAGGCUUAAGUCAUCGUCUUCGUCGGAACGACCAUCAGCCAUCACCCCCCACCGUUGUCCACUGUCGCGCGACCAUCAUCUGCCUCUUUGUCUUCCUCUCCUUUCCUUUCCUUCUUCCAUUCUUCUUUCUUCUUCCUUUCUUCCCUUUUAUCUUCCUUUUCUUUCUUCUCUAUAGCCGCCCCAUCUCUCUUUCUUUCUCUUUUUUCUCUCUUUUGAUUAAGGUUUAUAUAUAUAUAUAUAUAUACUAAAAGGAAGUUUGGGCUCGAAACCCAACAGUUUUUUUUUUCUCUUUGAUAGAUUUAACCCUUU
rnacentral:lncRNA from 1 species